rnacentral:piRNA from 2 species
AGGAGGAUUUAGUAGUAAAUUAAGAAUAGA